rnacentral:rRNA from 1 species
AGUGAACGCUGGCGGUAGGCCUAACACAUGCAAGUCGAACGGCAGCACAGUAAGAGCUUGCUCUUACGGGUGGCGAGUGGCGGACGGGUGAGGAAUACAUCGGAAUCUACUUUUUCGUGGGGGAUAACGUAGGGAAACUUACGCUAAUACCGCAUACGACCUACGGGUGAAAGCAGGGGAUCUUCGGACCUUGCGCGAUUGAAUGAGCCGAUGUCGGAUUAGCUAGUUGGCGGGGUAAAGGCCCACCAAGGCGACGAUCCGUAGCUGGUCUGAGAGGAUGAUCAGCCACACUGGAACUGAGACACGGUCCAGACUCAGACGGGAGGCAGCAGUGGGGAAUAUUGGACAAUGGGCGCAAGCCUGAUCCAGCCAUACCGCGUGGGUGAAGAAGGCCUUCGGGUUGUAAAGCCAUUUUGUUGGGAAAGAAAAGCAGCAGGUUAAGACCCCGCUGUUCUGACGGUACCCAAAGAAUAAGCACCGGCGAACUUCGU